rnacentral:rRNA from 1 species
UACGUAGGGCGCAAGCGUUGUCCGGAAUUAUUGGGCGUAAAGAGCUCGUAGGCGGUUUGUCGCGUCGGAUGUGAAAUUUUAGGGCUCAACCCUGACAUUGCAUCUGAUACGGGCAGGCUAGAGUUCGGUAGGGGAGACUGGAAUUCCUGGUGUAGCGGUGAAAUGCGCAGAUAUCAGGAGGAACACCGGUGGCGAAGGCGGGUCGCUGGGCCGAUACUGACGCUGAGGAGCGAAAGCGUGGGGAGCGAACAGG